UUGCUUGUACGGUCGGCAGGAGCCCGACUGCGGCGUUGUAUGCCGGCUGUGGAGGGUGGUGGACGACAUCUACGAGUUCCAGCCUUAUGUCAGGCAUAACUCGUGAGGAUCCUGUAGGUAGGUAAGAAUUAAUAUUAGGUGCCAUGCAAUUAAACAGGUAAAGUCAUAAAUUAUUGUAUUAGAAUAAGUAUUUAUUUGGAAUAUGUUAGUCAAUUAAAUAAAUAAAAUUGUAUAUAGUGGUA